rnacentral:rRNA from 1 species
GAUGAACGCUGACAGAAUGCUUAACACAUGCAAGUCUUUGGCGAAGCUGUGCUUGCACAGCCUAGCCAAGGCGGACGGGUGAGUAACGCGUCAGGAACUUGCCCUGCAGUCAGGGAUAACAGACGGAAACGACUGAUAAGACCUGGUAAAGUCAGGCGGACUCAUGUCCAGCCUGAUGAAAAGAGAUGCUGCAGGAGAGCCUUGCGUCCUAUUAGCUUGUUGGUGGGGUAACGGCCCACCAAGGCGAUGAUAGGUAGCCGGCCUGAGAGGGUGGACGGCCACAAGGGGACUGAGAUACGGCCCUUACUCCUACGGGAGGCAGCAGUGGGGAAUAUUGGACAAUGGGGGCAACCCUGAUCCAGCAAUUCUGUGUGCACGAUGAAGGUUUUCGGAUUGUAAAGUGCUUUCAGCAGGGAAGAAAAAAAUGACGGUACCUGCAGAAGAAGCGACGGCUAAAUACGU